GACGAACGCUGGCGGCGUGCCUAAUACAUGCAAGUAGAACGCACAGGAUGCACCGUCGUUUACUACACCGUAUUCUGUGAGUUGCGAACGGGUGAGUAACGCGUAGGUAACCUGCCUGGUAGCGGGGGAUAACUAUUGGAAACGAUAGCUAAUACCGCAUAAGAACAUUUACUGCAUGGUAGAUGUUUAAAAGGUGCAAAUGCAUCACUACCAGAUGGACCUGCGUUGUAUUAGCUAGUAGGUGAGGUAACGGCUCACCUAGGCGACGAUACAUAGCCGACCGGAGAGGGUGAUCGGCCACACUGGGACUGAGACACGGCCCAGACUCCUACGGGAGGCAGCAGUAGGGAAUCUUCGGCAAUGGGGGGAACCCUGACCGAGCAACGCCGCGGGAGUGAAGAAGGUUUUCGGAUCGUAAAGCUCUGUUGUUAAGGAAGAACGAGUGUGAGAAUGGAAAGUUCAUACUGUGACGGUACUUAACCAGAAAGGGACGGCUAACUACGUG
rnacentral:rRNA from 1 species